rnacentral:rRNA from 1 species
ACGAACGCUGGCGGCGUGCCUAAUACAUGCAAGUUGAGCGCUGAAGGUUGGUACUUGUACCGACUGGAUGAGCAGCGAACGGGUGAGUAACGCGUGGGGAAUCUGCCUUUGAGCGGGGGACAACAUUUGGAAACGAAUGCUAAUACCGCAUAAAAACUUUAAACACAAGUUUUAAGUUUGAAAGAUGCAAUUGCAUCACUCAAAGAUGAUCCCGCGUUGUAUUAGCUAGUUGGUGAGGUAAAGGCUCACCAAGGCGAUGAUACAUAGCCGACCUGAGAGGGUGAUCGGCCACAUUGGGACUGAGACACGGCCCAAACUCCUACGGGAGGCAGCAGUAGGGAAUCUUCGGCAAUGGACGAAAGGCUGACCGAGCAACGCCGCGGGAGUGAAGAAGGUUUUCGGAUCGUAAAACUCUGUUGGUAGAGAAGAACGUUGGUGAGAGUGGAAAGCUCAUCAAGUGACGGUAACUACCCAGAAAGGGACGGCUAACUACGUG